rnacentral:rRNA from 1 species
UACGGAGGGCGCGAGCGUUACCCGGAUUUACUGGGCGUAAAGGGCGCGUAGGCGGUCCGUCAAGUCUGCCGUGAAAGCCCGGGGCUCAACCCCGGGAGGGCGGUCGAUACUGCCGGGCUAGAGGACGGGAGAGGCAGGUGGAAUUCCCGGAGUAGCGGUGAAAUGCGUAGAUACCGGGAGGAAUGCCGAUGGCGAAGGCAGCCCGCUGGGCCGUUUCUGACGCUGAGGCGCGAAAGCGUGGGGAGCGAACCGG